CACCGCGCACGCGCAUGCGCCCGCCGCCCCGCGCCCCCCGGCGGGCGGAGCCCGGCGCCGCGGCCAGGAUUUCCCACCUCGCUCCCGCGACUCCGCUGCGGGUCUGCACACCCGAGGACUCGGGGUACUUAACCGAAACUAGCAAUCCCAGGCGGUACAAGGCCCUCCAUCGUAGGCAAAGCACUACCUGAAUGUAGAUUUGGGCCAUACGUUGGAAAAUAAGACAUGAGAGUAUGCUCCGAUCAACUUUUACUGUUCACUGGACAACUAUUUUGGGAAUUUGCAGACCUAUAAAGCCCAUCUAUAAAUCUCAAGCAUGUCCACUUUCAGAGAAGAGAAAUGCUGACAACCAUUUAGUCUCUGAGGACAACACUUUUAAAGUGUAACAAUGUGGCAUCCAGAGCUUAUCCAGAUGAGCGGAGAGCAAAUGAAUUUCCUUCUGCUCCCCUGUUGAAGAGGAGAGAAAAAUUCUUCAAGCUCACCUGUUCUUCUCAUCGCUGGACCUAUAAAGUGGCAUUAAUCAUCAAGAGUCCAGCAGAAUUGGGAAAGUCAUGUAUGCUGCAAAGUACAUUCCAAAGUCUUAAAAUAUUCUUGUCUUAUCCACUGUUGUUUAUUUGUUUACUUAUUUUUAAACAAACAUCUGUUUGAAAGAGGGAGUGCUAACUGUGUGUUCU
rnacentral:lncRNA from 1 species